UGAGCAACCUGCCCUUGACCCUGGAAUAACAGUUGGAAACAGCUGCUAAUACCGGAUAUGACCUCUGACGACAUCGUCUGGAGGUGGAAAGCUCCGGCGGUCAAGGAUGGGCUCGCGGCCUAUCAGCUAGUUGGUGUGGGUAAUGGCCCACCAAGGCGACGACGGGUAGCCGGCCUGAGAGGGUGACCGGCCACACUGGGACUGAGACACGGCCCAGACUCCGUACGGGAGCAG
rnacentral:rRNA from 1 species